CUAUUGGCCUUCCUCAAGGCCACAAAGAUUUUCUCCUGUGUUUUAU
rfam:Felis catus isolate Cinnamon breed Abyssinian chromosome D4, whole genome shotgun sequence.